rnacentral:rRNA from 1 species
AGUGAACGCUGGCGGUAGGCCUAACACAUGCAAGUCGAACGGCAGCACAGUAAGAGCUUGCUCUUACGGGUGGCGAGUGGCGGACGGGUGAGGAAUACAUCGGAAUCUACUUUUUCGUGGGGGAUAACGUAGGGAAACUUACGCUAAUACCGCAUACGACCUACGGGUGAAAGCAGGGGAUCUUCGGACCUUGCGCGAUUGAAUGAGCCGAUGUCGGAUUAGCUAGUUGGCGGGGUAAAGGCCCACCAAGGCGACGAUCCGUAGCUGGUCUGAGAGGAUGGUCAGCCACACUGGAACUGAGACACGGUCCAGACUCCUACGGGAGGCAGCAGUGGGGAAUAUUGGACAAUGGGCGCAGGCCUGAUCCAGCCAUACCGCGUGGGUGAAGAAGGCCUUCGGGUUGUAAAGCCCUUUUGUUGGGAAAGAAAAGCAGCAGGUUAAUACCCCGCUGUUCUGACGGUACCCAAAGAAUAAGCACCGGCUAACUUCGUG